rnacentral:rRNA from 1 species
AACGAACGCUGGCGGCAGGCUUAACACAUGCAAGUCGAGCGCCCCGCACGGGGAGCGGCAGACGGGUGAGUAACGCGUGGGAACGUACCUUUUGGUUCGGAACAACUCCGGGAAACUGGAGCUAAUACCGGAUAAGCCCUAACGGGGAAAGAUUUAUCGCGGAAGGCACGGCCCGCGUCUGAUUAGCUAGUGGGGGAGGUAACGGCUCACCAAGGCGACGAUCAGUAGCUGGUCUGAGAGGAUGAUCAGCCACACUGGGACUGAGACACGGCCCAGACUCCUACGGGAGGCAGCAGUGGGGAAUAUUGGACAGUGGGCGCAAGCCUGAACCAGCCAUGCCGCGUGAGUGAUGAAGGCAUUAGGGUUGUAAAGCUCUUUUGUCCGGGAAGAUAAUGACUGUACCGGAAGAAUAAGCCCCGGCUAACUUCGUG